rnacentral:lncRNA from 1 species
AUGAAUCAGUGUUGUACACGUGUGAUCCAGCAGGUGCUUGCUGUCAUUGCAGGUUUCUCUGACAAUUGUCAUUUGGAGCCUGUAAGCCCCCCACUGCUCGGCCUAGUGUCUGCUGAGGAAUUGGGCAAUCUUCCUUCUCUGGAGACAGAGGCUGAAGAGGCUAAGGCUACACAUGAGCCAGACGGGGACAGUAUUUAUCAAGAAAACCUACCUGAUGUUUCGCUUAGUUUUGGCUCAGCAGGUUUUUCUAAUGCUGUACAGAAAAGGCCAGAGCUGCUCAGUGGUUUUAGUAGAGAGAGUUUCAAAAGUCCUGCAGUGCAAAGUAAACCAACAACAGAGUUACAUAUAUUCAAACUGAACAAAACAAGUGACAAACUUGAACUCUAUCAAAAGACAUCUGUAUCUGUAGACACAUCUGUGAGUGUCAGAGGUGAAGCUCCUCAUCCUGACAUGAUAGGCGCCAAGACACUACAGCUUGCAGCAUUAGAGAACACUCCAUUAAAAGACACUUUGACCACAGUUCAGAAAAUAAUAUUCACCGGAGAAGAGGCAAAACAGGAAGACCUGGCCAAGGCACCAAAGGAACCUUCAUUUGGCCCUCACAUGUAUGUGGAGGUUAUCACUAGCAGGUCUCCAGAACCCACACCACAGCAUGAAGACACCCUCUCAAUAGACUUAUUAAAGGAAGAUGUUACAUAUCGAGCUAGUCGAGUUGCCAUUUGUGAAGAGACAGAUGACUCUUUACCAGGUACAAGUAUCGAGCCCCAGGUUUUGGAACCACAUGAAUAUGUUUGCAAUCCUCCGUUAGCAUCUUCUCCUGUUCCAGUUCCCCUUCCCUGUCAGUCCACAUCCAGUCCUCAAAGAGCCAGACCAUCCAAGGUCAGUCACCUUAAGCAUUUCUGGGAGAAAGAUCAUGCAGGUCCAAGAGUAAUUGUUGCAAGAGCCAAAGAAGCCUCACACCCCUUAGCACUUGGUGUAGAGAUUUCUCCUCAAUGUGAUCUGAAAAGAGAGAGACCUGAAAAAGAAGAAGAAACAUAUCCACAUGCAAGCAAAUCCAGUGGUGCCUUGAAAUCACUGAAAGUCACAGAUAAAAGUUUUGUUAAUCCAGACAUGCUACAGCCAAAGAGACCCAAUAGUACUGGGGAUGUACUAGCAACAAUAUUCCAACAACAGACUAUAGAGUGUCUGGGUCACAUUACAAGAUCAAAAGCACAGAAUGAUGAAGUCAGGAGGAGUCCAUCUAAGACUUGCCACCCAAGGAUUUUACCCACAGAAUCCUCCAGUCAUAAGAUGUCCAGGGAAGAAUGUUCUCCACUGAAAACCUUCCCAAUAGACAUCAGCCUCCAGACUAAGGAGACUAAAGAUCAAGAAGAAAAGCCAACGUCACUGCCAAGACGGAGUAGUCUUACACGUGAAUUAAAGCAGACAGUAGUGAUGGAUAACAUGAGCUCUCAUCACCUACCACUACAUUCACCCUUAAAUACACAACAAUGGAGUUCAAGCUCCUCUGAAUUGCCAUCCAAAGAACCUCUACAAAAAUUAGAGACCUUAACUGAACAUUUCAUUCCUUGGAACAUUGAGCACUACCUCAAGCCACAGGAGAAGGCCCAUUUCCCUCUUUUUCAGCAAGACAGCACAGCUAAUGCUGAAGCUGAUGCCAUACACAGGCCACAAAAAGCCUUCAGAGAUGUGGGAAACCUGAGUGACAUAUCAAAUGAGUGGAGUCUUCCUACAGUUAGUUCUGGUGGUGUGCACAGAAAGCUCAGCAUAUCCAGCCCCGACACAACCAGAGCCUCGUCUCUGUCUUGGGAAAGUUCAGACAGUUAUGUUGGUAGUUCUAAUCCCACCCUACCAGCAUUCUCUUCAAAGAACAUGUCUUCAUCUAAAUGUUUGCAAAGGCUUACCACAGAGUGUGUCCUAAAUGCAGGUGAUUAG